rnacentral:rRNA from 1 species
GAUGAACGCUGGCGGCGUGCUUAACACAUGCAAGUCGAACGGAAAGGCCUCUGCUUGCAGGGGUACUCGAGUGGCGAACGGGUGAGUAACACGUGGGUGAUCUGCCCUGCACUUCGGGAUAAGCCUGGGAAACUGGGUCUAAUACCGGAUAGGACAAUGGUCUGGAUGCUGUUGUGGAAAGUUUUUCGGUGUGGGAUGAGCUCGCGGCCUAUCAGCUUGUUGGUGGGGUAAUGGCCUACCAAGGCGUCGACGGGUAGCCGGCCUGAGAGGGUGUACGGCCACAUUGGGACUGAGAUACGGCCCAGACUCCUACGGGAGGCAGCAGUGGGGAAUAUUGCACAAUGGGCGCAAGCCUGAUGCAGCGACGCCGCGUGGGGGAUGACGGCCUUCGGGUUGUAAACUCCUUUCGCUAGGGACGAAGCGUUUUUGUGACGGUACCUGGAGAAGAAGCACCGGCUAACUACGUG